CCUACGGGAGGCAGCAGUGCGGAAUCUUGGUCAAUGGUCGGGAGACUGCACCAGCCAAGCAGCGUGAGGGAUGCAGGUACAGAGUAUCGUAAACCUCUUUUGUCAGGGAACAAAGGCGGGGACGUGUCACCGGAUGAGUGUAACUGAAGAAAAAGCAUCGGCUACCUCCGUGCCAGCAGCCGCGGUCAUACGGGGGAUGCGAGCGUUAUCCGGAUUUAUUGGGUUUAACGGGUGCUCAGCGGGUCUGUAAAGGAUGCGGUCAAAGCCCGGGGCUCAACCCCGGCCCGCGGUUGAAACUGGCAGUGUCGAGUUGGAGAGACGUAUGCGGAAUGCGCGGUGUAGCGGUGAAAGGCAUAGAUAUCGCGCAGAACUCCGAUUGCGAAGGCAGCAGGCCGGCUCCACACUGACGCUGAGGCACGAAAGCGUGGGUAUCGAACAGGAUUAGAUACCCCGGUAGUC
rnacentral:rRNA from 1 species